UACGUAGGGUGCAAGCGUUGUCCGGAAUUAUUGGGCGUAAAGAGCUCGUAGGCGGUCUGUCGCGUCGGCUGUGAAAUCCCGAGGCUCAACCUCGGGUCUGCAGUCGAUACGGGCAAACUAGAGUAUUGCAGGGGAGACUGGAAUUCCUGGUGUAGCGGUGAAAUGCGCAGAUAUCAGGAGGAACACCGGUGGCGAAGGCGGAUCUCUGGGCCAUUACUGACGCUGAGGAGCGAAAGCGUGGGGAGCGAACAGG
rnacentral:rRNA from 1 species